CUACGGAGGGUGCGAGCGUUACUCGGAGUCACUGGGCGUAAAGCGUCCGUAGGCGGUCGGGUAAGUCGGGUGUGAAAGCCCCGGGCUCAACCUGGGAAGUGCACCCGGUACUGCUCGACUCGAGUGCGGGAGAGGAUGGCGGAAUUCCCGGUGUAGCGGUGAAAUGCGUAGAGAUCGGGAGGAACACCAGUGGCGAAGGCGGCCAUCUGGCCCGCAACUGACGCUGAGGGACGAAAGCGUGGGGAGCAAACAGGAUUAGAAACCCUAGUAGUCC
rnacentral:rRNA from 1 species